rnacentral:rRNA from 1 species
AUGCAUCUUUUGAGGGUGAACUCCUCAUAUUUGAGAAGUUAUAGGUAUAAGGUUCGGUUAGCUGGGGUUAACUCCCGUAACGGAACCCUCAAACCUAUCACUCCUAAAAAAUUUGAGGAAUUGUGUAAAAAAUGUUACUUUGGGUUUUUAACAUUUAUGCCACUGUUUGUUCUUCACUACUCGAUUUUGCCAUUAGGAAUUUCAACUGCUCAAAAAUGCCAUCGCUUCUUUAGGCGCAUGCUAAAAAAUGCCAGUGGACACCAUUAUUGUCAGCUCAAAUCCCGUUUGCCAUGUCUUAAUGACCAAAAUACCUAUAGAACAACAUGUCAGCUCUCCCUCUAUCUCACUACAAUAAAGUGUGGGUCCCACUUGAUCCCAAUAGCAUUCUUAUUUUCUCUAAAAUUAUUCGCUUGCUUACUCCUGACAAGUGGGGUCCACACUUAUCUGAGCAAACAUCUAAUGGAACGAUGGCAUUUUUGA